AGUGUUGCUUCCGCUCGUGGCAACCCUGGUGGUAGGCGGAGUUGCAGACGUGGAUCCAAUCUGUAGAGACGUGCGUUCGUGAAUUCACUGGUGUUCCAGAGGUGCUGUGUAAGCUCGCGGGCGAGGGAGCGAAGACUUGUGGCUGCAUCUGUUCUUGACAGAGGUAGACAUCGGUGGCGGUGUAUAUGUUGAAAAGGGCCUGCUGAAGAGGCUGCGCCAGGAUGCUAACAAUUCAGGCUUGCAUUCGCGGGGCGCCUCCUGAAAGAUUCUUUUACAAAAUAAGAGGUUGAAGGGAGGUCCUACCUCGGGCGGCCAUCAAAUGUUUUCCACAGAAGGAUCCGUUGGACUCCAAGAAGGUCAACGCCAUACUCGACAUGUCCCCUGCUAUGCCACCCCGGUCCGGCCCAACCGAUCACCCAGCAGCGUACGUGGAUCGAUUUGACAUUAUCAAUGAAUUUGCUUGCAGUUGCGAGUGAAAUAACGAUCAUCGCUCAAGACAAUAAAUGAGUGUGCGUACAUUUCGUCACG